rnacentral:lncRNA from 1 species
CAGCGCGCGGGAGUCGGGGCCGGGGCAGAGCUUUCUGGAAGGGACCGCGGGCUCCCUGCAGGUAUCCACAGACGGCUCCAUGUGCCCCACGGCACACACAAAAUAAACACCUUCAAAUUGAGCCAAGUACCCGGGGCAGGUGUGGAGUGUCUGCUGAGGCGAAGGCACUGCGGCUCCCUGGGGACACUCGUGGCCUCUCCAGGUUACUACAGAUGGGGGACAGCGGGUCCUUUGGAUUGAUCGCAGAGUUGAACAACAGAGAAUGUGUGCACAGUGCCAGGCACAGGUGUGGUCAAGAUUCACCUGGGAGAGGAAGUGGGCAGGGGCAGAGGAG